rnacentral:tRNA from 1 species
ACAUGGCUCUUCCGGUGUGCUUUCGGAGAGUAACUGUUCCUUUGUUACUCCCCCCAACAUUUAUCCUCUAGACCAGGGGUCCCCAAACUUUUUAAACAGGGGGCCAGUUCAUGGUCCCUCAGGCCGUUGGAGGGCUGGAUUAUAGUUGAAAAAAAACUAUAAACAAAUUCCUAUGCACACUGCACAUCUCUUAUUUUGAAGUAAAAAAACCCAAACGGGAACAAAUACAGUCUCAAUGUUAAUAAUCAUAAUAAAAACAAUAAAGAGUGUUGGAAGAGACCCUUUGGGCCACUUAGUCCACCCCCUUCUAUCUUUGUGUAUCAAAAGCACAAGCAAAGCACCCCUGACAGAUGGCCACCCAGCCUCAAUAAUAAUACAGUAGAGUCUCACUUAUCCAACAUAAACGGGCCGGCAGAAUGUUGGAUAAGCGAAAAUGUUGGAUAAUAAAGAGGGAUUAACAAAUAUCCUAUUAAAUGUCAAAUUAUGUUAUGAUUUUACAAAUUAAGCACCAAAAACAUCAUGUUUUACAACAAAUCGACAGAAAAAAAGCAGUCCAAAACACGGUAACAUUAUGUAGUAAUUAGUGUAUUUAUGAAUUUAGCACCAAAACAUUGCAAUACAGUAGAGUCUCACUUAUCCAACAUAAACGGGCUGGCAGAACGUUGGAUAAGCAAAUAUGUUGGAUAAUAAAGAGGGAUUAAGGAAGAGCCUAUUAAACAUCAAAUUAGGUUAUGAUUUUACAAAUUAAGCACCAAAACAUCAUGUUAUACAACAAAUUUGACAGAAAAAGUAGUUCAACACGCAGUAAUGCUAUGUAGUAAUUACUGUAUUUACGAAUUUAGCACCAAAAUAUCACAAUAUAUUGAAAACAUUGACUAAAAAAAUGCGUUGGAUAAUCCAGAACAUUGGAUAAGUGAUGUUGGAUAAGUGAGACUCUACUGUAUAUUGAAAACAUUGACUACUAACAAAUUGACUACAAAUAAAGAUAGAAUUGCAUAAAAUGACCUUACAGUAGCUACAUUGUGAGAAAUUAAAUCCAUAAAAAUUCAAUCCUUGCUGCCUAGAGAAACAGCUGUGGAUCAGGGCGGGAGGCAAACUGCAUUGGAUAAUCCAGAACGUUGGAUAAGCGAAUGUUGGAUAAGUGAGACUCUACUGUAAUUCAAAAUCAUCUGAGUUUCAACCAGAAGCUUCUUACAUUCUUGUUCUCUAUGCCUCACUAUUUUAAGUUUCAUCUUCAUUCAGAUUUUUCCUUCUUAAUGUUCCUUCUAAGGUUGAAAAGCAGGAAUAAAAUGCACAACAGAUAGAAGCGAAAGACAGAGUGGCUGGUUAAACGUUUGCAUUUAAUAAAAUGCAAUAAAAUAAAUAUUUUGACAGAAAAAGUAGUUCAAUACGCAGUAAUGCUAUAAUUACUGUAUUUACGAAUUUAGCACCAAAAUAUCACAAUGUAUUGAAAACAUUGACUACAAAAAUGCGUUGGAUAAUCCAGAACGUCUUUCGCUUCUAUCUGUUGUGCAUGUUAUUGCUGCAUAAAUAUUGUGCCCAAAGAACACAUCUUACCUAAAAAGAUGUGAUUUGUUGUUUACAAAAGCAUUUGUUCCCUGACCGGGAAUCGAACCCGGGCCGCGGCGGUGAGAGCGCCGAAUCCUAACCACUAGACCACCAGGGAAGCUGUAGAAAGUCUAUCAAGCAUAGUCUAUACAUUCUAUAAUUACAGUUCUCUGGUUCUAAAUUAUUUUUCAAAAAAUAUUUAAAUACAGUAUAAUUGUAUGUAUUGCAAUCCCACUCGUAAAAUGUAUCCUUUUCCUAUCGGGGCAGAUAUUUUUUUUUAAAAGUCGCUUUUAUACUUCUUGAAAGCCUUAAAAUAGAUACUUUGUGAUUAUUUUUUUAAAAAAACGGAUAUUCUUUUCAUACCUCUGCUUUAUUAUCUUUGUCACAAAGGCAGCAAAAGAAAAUUUAAUUAAAUGAAGGUUAGGAAAAAAAAAGGAUGUGUCAGAAGUGGGAUUUGAACCCACGCCUCCAUUCGGAGACCAGAACACCCAGAGCUGGGAAGGGAAGAAGCCUUGAGUCUGGCGCCUUAGACCACUCGGCCAUCCUGACACUCACGCGCUAGUCCUCGAACAAAGGCUUCUAAUACUUGCAAGGCCUUCUACCAAUGCGAUUCUUUUGCAAAUUAUUCUUUAGUGGGUUAGAGAAACAAUUCAUUAAAUCUGCUCCAAAGAAUCUUCCCUCCACUGAAUUAUUAUUAUGAUGUUUUAAUCUUACACAUGUGUCUUAAUAUAUGAAUUUAAUAUAUUUU